GGGGACAUAGCUCAGUUGGCUAGAGCGCUUCCAUGGCAUGGAAGAGGUCAGGGGUUCAAAUCCCCUUGUCUCCA
rnacentral:tRNA from 1 species